ensembl:snoRNA SNORA73 Small nucleolar RNA SNORA73 family
CCAACAUGGAUACCCCUGGGAAGUCACUCUCCCCAGGCUCUGUGCAGGUGGCAAACAGUAGCACAGGGCUCUGCCCAAUUAUCUACAGUCCCUUUUUACAGUGUUGGAGAUAAAGCUGAGCCACUGAGUUUGUGCCUGCAUAUUCUUACAGCAUCCCAGAAUUCCACGGACCCAUAACUAUGAAAACAAACCAUGAACAAAACAGUU